rnacentral:rRNA from 1 species
CAGCCGCCGCGGUAAUACAGAGGGUGCGAGCGUUAAUCGGAUUUACUGGGCGUAAAGCGUGCGUAGGCGGCUUCUUAAGUCGGAUGUGAAAUCCCUGAGCUUAACUUAGGAAUUGCAUUCGAUACUGGGAAGCUAGAGUAUGGGAGAGGAUGGUAGAAUUCCAGGUGUAGCGGUGAAAUGCGUAGAGAUCUGGAGGAAUACCGAUGGCGAAGGCAGCCAUCUGGCCUAAUACUGACGCUGAGGUACGAAAGCAUGGGGAGCAAACAGGAUUAGAUACCCCUGUAGUCCCUGUCUCUUAUAA